UAGCUAGUUGGUGAGGUAAAGGCUUACCAAGGCGACGAUCUGUAGCGGGUCUGAGAGGAUGAUCCGCCACACUGGAACUGAGACACGGUCCAGACUCCUACGGGAGGCAGCAGUGGGGAAUUUUGGACAAUGGGGGCAACCCUGAUCCAGCCAUGCCGCGUGAGUGAAGAAGGCCUUCGGGUUGUAAAGCUCUUUCGGCCGGGAAGAAAUCGCAUGGGCCAAUACCCUGUGUGGAUGACGGUACCGGAAUAAGAAGCACCGGCUAACUACGUGCCAGCCGCGGUAAUACGUAGGGUGCGAGCGUUAAUCGGAAUUACUGGGCGUAAAGCGUGCGCAGGCGGUUUUGUAAGACAGGCGUGAAAUCCCCGGGCUUAACCUGGGAACUGCGUUUGUGACUGCAAGGCUAGAGUACGGCAGAGGGGGGUGGAAUUCCACGUGUAGCAGUGAAAUGCGUAGAGAUGUGGAGGAACACCAAUGGCGAAGGCAGCCCCCUGGGUCGAUACUGACGCUCAUGCACGAAAGCGUGGGUAGCAAACAGGAUUAGAUACCCUGGUAGUCCACGCCCUAAACUAUGUCAACUAGGUGUUGGGUGGGUAAAACCAUUUAGUACCGUAGCUAACGCGUGAAGUUGACCGCCUGGGGAGUACGGCCGCAAGGUUAAAACUCAAAGGAAUUGACGGGGACCCGCACAAGCGGUGGAUGAUGUGGAUUAAUUCGAUGCAACGCGAAAAACCUUACCUACCCUUGACAUGCCAGGAACUUGCCAGAGAUGGCUUGGUGCCCGAAAGGGAGCCUGGACACAGGUGCUGCAUGGCUGUCGUCAGCUCGUGUCGUGAGAUGUUGGGCUAAGUCCCGCAACGAGCGCAACCCUUGUCGUUAAUUGCCAUCAUUUAGUUGGGCACUUUAACGAGACUGCCGGUGACAAACCGGAGGAAGGUGGGGAUGACGUCGAGUCCUCAUGGCCCUUAUGGGUAGGGCUUCACACGUCAUACAAUGGUCGGUACAAAGGGUUGCCAAGCCGCGAGGCGGAGCCAAUCCCAGAAAGCCGAUCGUAGUCCGGAUUGCAGGCUGCAACUCGCCUGCAUGAAGUCGGAAUCGCUAGUAAUCGUGGAUCAGCAUGUCACGGUGAAUACGUUCCCGGGUCUUGUACACACCGCCCGUCACACCAUGGGAGCGGGUUCCGCCAGAAGUAGGUAGCCUAACCGCAAGGGGGGCGCUUACCACGGCGGGGUUCGUGACUGGGGUGAAGUCGUAACAAGGUAGCCGUAGGGGAACCUGCGGCUG
rnacentral:rRNA from 1 species